ACACUCCUACGGGAGGCAGCAGUGGGGAAUUUUGGACAAUGGGCGAAAGCCUGAUCCAGCAAUGCCGCGUGAGUGAAGAAGGCCUUCGGGUUGUAAAGCUCUUUUGUCAGGGAAGAAACGGUGAGAGCUAAUAUCUCUUGCUAAUGACGGUACCUGAAGAAUAAGCACCGGCUAACUACGUGCCAGCAGCCGCGGUAAUACGUAGGGUGCAAGCGUUAAUCGGAAUUACUGGGCGUAAAGCGUGCGCAGGCGGUUUUGUAAGUCUGAUGUGAAAUCCCCGGGCUCAACCUGGGAAUUGCAUUGGAGACUGCAAGGCUAGAAUCUGGCAGAGGGGGGUAGAAUUCCACGUGUAGCAGUGAAAUGCGUAGAUAUGUGGAGGAACACCGAUGGCGAAGGCAGCCCCCUGGGUCAAGAUUGACGCUCAUGCACGAAAGCGUGGGGAGCAAACAGGAUUAGAUACCCGAGUAGUCCCAUGA
rnacentral:rRNA from 1 species